rnacentral:misc_RNA from 1 species
UGUGGGAGCGAGCUUGCUCGCGAUGGCGGUGUGUCAGUCGACAUUCAUGCUGGUUGAUCCACCGCUAUCGCGAGCAAGCUCGCUCCCACA